CAACAAAAAAUCCCUAGCUAUCAAAAGAGGGACUCACGGCCGUUCCACCCUCUCACUAUUCCUCUGUAUUCUUUCACUCAACUGAACAACUGAUGCGUUGAUGUUUGAAGUUGCGUGAAGAGUGUGUUGAAUGAAUUGUUAUGAGGAUGAUAUUUGCUAGUUCUGCUGCGAAGACUGAUGGGUUGAAAGUGAUGCGAUGAACGAUUGAUGAACAGUGACAUUGAAACUGAGUAGGUAUGAUUUGCAGGUGAGUUCGAUUUGUUGUUGAUUUUGGUGAUGUUUACGUUUAUGCAGGUUCCAUAAAGUUUGUUGGAUCUGAUAUGAAGUAGGAGCAGUCGCACAAGAACCGACACAAGAACCGACGCAGACGAGUGUGCACGGAACAGGAACUCAUACCCUUCCGCAAUCGCUCAUGAGUCACGAUUUCGACGAAUCUUCUCAGCCUCCAGUGCUUUAGUGUUUGGUGAUCGCAAAAGUGCAGAAAAGUCGGGAAAAAAGCCGAAGAAUCGUAGAUUUGGACGACGCUGAAGUUGUCAGUGUUUGGUGAUGUUCGCCUGACGCAUGGCUUGGAGGCGAGCGUCCUUCCGGCGAGCAAGAGGCGAAGGGGGCAAAAAUGUGGUCUCCAUUCUGCCAUUGAGCGCCCGACGGAGCAUUUGGCUCGCCGGGCGAAUGAAGAUAUUUUGGGCUUCUCCUUCUGCGCUGAUUUGUGUCACGUGGGCUUUUAAGUGGCUUCGCCCGGCGAAAGGAAGCAACUGCGCAGCUAAUCUGGGUAGAUUGGCCAUGCUUUUAGAGUACUUUGUAGAUAUUUUAUGGAUCAUUCCAUCUUUUGUUUCUCUCUCUUGACAAAAAAUACACCAUUUUGUGUGCAAAAACCCUAAUUCCUCCAUUGCUAACCAAAAUCAUAGUUUUCAACCAUCAAUCUUUGAAACUUCAAGUUUGAUGUUCAUAAAGCUUGAUUUUUUACUUGUUGCUCAAGUCACCAUGGAAAUGGGUGGCUAAAUCAUUCUUGGUGUCAAGAUUAGAGGUAGAUAAUCUUUCUUGUAGUAUGUAUUUCUUUUGAUACUUUGUAUGUGAACAAGUGAUGAUUAAUAUAUGUUGAAAAACCUUGUGUUUAUAUUUAUA